rnacentral:misc_RNA from 1 species
UGGCCGUUCUUAGUUGGUGGG